rnacentral:tRNA from 1 species
GAAGGUAGAGCUCAGUAGUAGAGUGUGUGCCUAGCAUGCAUGAGGUCCUGGGUUCAAUCCCCAGUACCUACA